AUUGAACGCUGGCGGCAGGCCUAACACAUGCAAGUCGAGCGGAUGAAGGGAGCUUGCUCCUGGAUUCAGCGGCGGACGGGUGAGUAAUGCCUAGGAAUCUGCCUGGUAGUGUGGGAUAACGGCCGGAAACGGGCGCUAAUACCGCAUACGUCCAGAGGGAGAAAGGGUGGGAUCUUCGGACCUCACGCUAUCACAUGAUCCUAGGUCGGAUUAGCUAGUUGGUGGGGUAAAGGCCUACCAAGGCGACGAUCCGUAACUGGUCUGAGAGGAUGAUCAGACACACUGGAACUGAGACACGGUCCAGACUCCUACGGGAGGCAGCAGUGGGGAAUAUUGGACAAUGGGCGCAAGCCUGAUCCAGCCAUGCCGCGUGUGUGAAGAAGGUCUUCGGAUUGUAAAGCCCUUUAAGUUGGGAGGAAGGGCAGUAAGUUAAUACCUUGCUGUUUUGACGUUACCAACAGAAUAAGCACCGGCUAACUUCGUG
rnacentral:rRNA from 1 species